GCGGAAGAUGUAACGGGGCUAAACCAUGCACCGAAGCUGCGGCAGCGACGCUGAUGCGUUGUUGGGUAGGGGAGCGUUCUGUAAGCCUGCGAAGGUGGCCUGUGAGGGUUGCUGGAGGUAUCAGAAGUGCGAAUGCUGACAUAAGUAACGAUAAAGCGGGUGAAAAGCCCGCUCGCCGGAAGACCAAGGGUUCCUGUCCAACGUUAAUCGGGGCAGGGUGAGUCGACCCCUAAGGCGAGGCCGAAAGGCGUAGUCGAUGGGAAACGGGUUAAUAUUCCCGUACUUGGUGUUACUGCGAAGGGGGGACGGAGAAGGCUAUGUUGGCCGGGCGACGGUUGUCCCGGUUUAAGCGUGUAGGUGUGUGUUCCAGGUAAAUCCGGUUCACUUUAACACUGAGGCGUGAUGACGAGGCACUACGGUGCUGAAGCAACAAAUGCCCUGCUUCCAGGAAAAGCCUCUAAGCAUCAGGUAACAUCAAAUCGUACCCCAAACCGACACAGGUGGUCAGGUAGAGAAUACCAAGGCGCUUGAGAGAACUCGGGUGAAGGAACUAGGCAAAAUGGUGCCGUAACUUCGGGAGAAGGCACGCUGACACGUAGGUGAAGUGAUUUACUCAUGGAGCUGAAGUCAGUCGAAGAUACCAGCUGGCUGCAACUGUUUAUUAAAAACACAGCACUGUGCAAACACGAAAGUGGACGUAUACGGUGUGACGCCUGCCCGGUGCCGGAAGGUUAAUUGAUGGGGUCAGCGCAAGCGAAGCUCCUGAUCGAAGCCCCGGUAAACGGCGGCCGUAACUAUAACGGUCCUAAGGUAGCGAAAUUCCUUGUCGGGUAAGUUCCGACCUGCACGAAUGGCGUAAUGAUGGCCAGGCUGUCUCCACCCGAGACUCAGUGAAAUUGAACUCGCUGUGAAGAUGCAGUGUACCCGCGGCAAGACGGAAAGACCCCGUGAACCUUUACUAUAGCUUGACACUGAACAUUGAGCCUUGAUGUGUAGGAUAGGUGGGAGGCUUUGAAGUGUGGACGCCAGUCUGCAUGGAGCCGACCUUGAAAUACCACCCUUUAAUGUUUGAUGUUCUAACGUGGACCCGUGAUCCGGGUUGCGGACAGUGUCUGGUGGGUAGUUUGACUGGGGCGGUCUCCUCCUAAAGAGUAACGGAGGAGCACGAAGGUUGGCUAAUCCUGGUCGGACAUCAGGAGGUUAGUGCAAUGGCAUAAGCCAGCUUGACUGCGAGCGUGACGGCGCGAGCAGGUGCGAAAGCAGGUCAUAGUGAUCCGGUGGUUCUGAAUGGAAGGGCCAUCGCUCAACGGAUAAAAGGUACUCCGGGGAUAACAGGCUGAUACCGCCCAAGAGUUCAUAUCGACGGCGGUGUUUGGCACCUCGAUGUCGGCUCAUCACAUCCUGGGGCUGAAGUAGGUCCCAAGGGUAUGGCUGUUCGCCAUUUAAAGUGGUACGCGAGCUGGGUUUAGAACGUCGUGAGACAGUUCGGUCCCUAUCUGCCGUGGGCGCUGGAGAACUGAGGGGGGCUGCUCCUAGUACGAGAGGACCGGAGUGGACGCAUCACUGGUGUUCGGGUUGUCAUGCCAAUGGCACUGCCCGGUAGCUAAAUGCGGAAGAGAUAAGUGCUGAAAGCAUCUAAGCACGAAACUUGCCCCGAGAUGAGUUCUCCCUGAGACUUUAGGUCUCCUGAAGGAACGUUGAAGACGACGACGUUGAUAGGCCGGGUGUGUAAGCGCAGCGAUGCGUUGAGCUAACCGGUACUAAUGAACCGUGAGGCUUAACCUU
rnacentral:rRNA from 1 species